rnacentral:rRNA from 1 species
ACGGGAGGCAGCAGUGGGGGAUAUUGCACAAUGGGGGAAACCCUGAUGCAGCGACGCCGCGUGAGUGAUGAAGUAUUUCGGUAUGUAGAGCUCUAUCAGCAGGAAAGAUAAUGACGGUACCUGACUAAGAAGCACCGGCUAAAUACGUGCCAGCAGCCGCGGUAAUACGUAUGGUGCAAGCGUUAUCCGGAUUUACUGGGUGUAAAGGGAGCGCAGACGGCAUGGCAAGCCAGAUGUGAAAGGCAGGGGCUCAACUCCUGGACUGCAUUUGGAACUGUCAAGCUAGAGUAUCGGAGAGGUAAGUGGAAUUCCUAGUGUAGCGGUGAGAUGCGUAGAUAUUAGGAGGAACACCAGUGGCGAAGGCGGCUUACUGGACGAUAACUGACGUUGAGGCUCGAAAGCGUGGGGAGCAAACAGGAUUAGAUACCCUGGUA